AUGGAGCAAGUGGCAGUGCCCCUUUAAAGCCCCAGAGGCUUGUGUGCCUUUCUUUUUCUUAAGAAGGGUCAGUGGGCUGUACUUGCCAUAAGCUGGGGAGAGGAGAUGUAGUGUGUUUGUCUGGGGGUUUGGAGGUGCACUUCCAGCCCCCAUCGAUUGGAAACCUCCACCCUACCAUCCUCGCUGGAUUGAGAGUUUUGGAUCAGUUCUGGAAGCGCAUCAGUAUCGGAGAAUCAGAUUGGCCAAGGAAGGAACCUGAGCCCCAGGUGCAUCAUGGGAGACCCGGCCCCCUGGCCCAUCCCCGCCUCUCUAAGGACAUCUUGGUGUGGACAGGACUGGACAGAAUGGAAGCCACAGCGCAGCCCCGAACCGGACCACCCGGUCUCACAGACAGUGGAGGAAGGACCAGCUACUCACCGGAUGCCAUGGACACUGAUAAACUGCACUGGCCCCACGGAGAGGAAAUUUGUUGACACGAGGCUGCUGCCCCCUGGCCACCCCCUUCCUGCCCCCUAGCCUGCAACUGUAUCCCCUCCUUCCAGACAGUGCCAUUUCCUUUGGGGGGAGUUGAGGGUCAAACACUGCAUCAUGGGUGCCAAAUCAAUCCCUUGCAACUCCAGGAGGGUAUGGAGGUGUGUGCAUGUGUGUGUGCCUCAUGCGUGGGAGCGAGGGCCGGGACCGGAGCAGGGUCAGAGGGGCCGCCGCUCCUGGGCCGGGUAAAGGGUUAUGGAAACAGGGGUCUAGAGUUUGGGGCCGGUACUCCGUGGGUGGAUCCGAGCGGGAGUGAGGUCGCACCGGCGCCCUUAAUUCUAUAGUCAGUGCGACAUCCUCCUUGCCUGUUCUGCCCUGUGGGAGUUUCCUGCCUAACUCAGGCUUCAAGAGUACAGGCUCCCUUUCCCGUCCAGGGGGGUGCCCCUGGGGGAGUGGGUGUAGGGACAGGUUGAGUCAAGGUGUGCGUGUGUCUGUCUGUCUCUGUAUGUAUGUAUGUGUGACUACCCUUGUCUUCCAUCCCUCCUGGAUGAGCAGAAAGAGGGGUGGAGAGAACUAACAGCAAAUUCUAGAGUGGGAAGAUGCAAAGUGGUUUCCCCCAUCCUACCAACAGAAAUGGCACUGUCUGGCCCCCUUCUCUCCCCUUCCUCUCCUCCUCCCAUCUCUGUCCCCUUGGCAGCCUGGGAUCUGUAAGCCCAAAUGUCUCUGUUUGGAAUAAAAUGUAUACGUUCUUCAUCA